CUAAAGUUUGCUGCAUUUUAUACAAAAUACAAAUACAAAAAGCAAUUUAUAUGAUUACUGUAUAAGUACACCUAUUUCACCACCAGUUAAAUGAUUAUGGACACAUCAGAAUAGAUAAUACAGCUAGAUGAUAUUUGCAUUAUUAUUUGAUACCCAGUGAGCACUGUUCCUUUCACUGGAUUCUCCAAAUGCAACCUUAUUUCAAGUAGGGGUAACACUUAUUUUAAAAAGAGAUUGUGAAUGGUAAAUUGUAAAUGUCAGUUAUAAGCCCGAAAUGUGCUUAUGGUUACAAAUUAUUUAUAAAAAUAGACUUUACUUACUUACUUAUCUCCAUCUUCCCUAGUGGGAAAUAGGGCUGCAACACGGUGACGCCACUCUUGGCGGUCCUUUGCGACUUUUAGUGCCUUGCCCCAAGUCAAUCCCAUCUCCAGCAGCUCAGCCUGGAUUGUUCUUCGCCAAGUUGUUUUAGGCCGUCCAAGCUUACGUUUCCCGAUAGAAGUCCAUAAGGCAGAUGUCUUUGGGAUACGUUCCUGCCCCAUCCUGAGGACAUGACCCAGCCACUUUAGCCGGCAGCGUUUUAUCUCUUGGGUGAUGUUAUAUGAUCCCGUUUUACAGUAAAGAUCUUUGUUGGAUAUUUUCUGAGGCCAAAAGAUACGGCAUAUCUUCCGCAGACACACAUUAUGGAAGGCACUGAUCUUGUCCAUGUCUGCCUUUACAAUGCUCCAGCACUCAGAUCCAUAAAGAAGAACUGAUUUCACGUUGCUGUUGUACAAUCGUAGCUUGGUCUUUAAGCUAUACUGCUUGGACUUUCAGAUGGGGUUAAGUCGUGCAAAGGUUCCACGUGCCUUGCCUAGCCUUGAUAGAAUGUCUUUUUUGGCUCCAUUAUCCUUGCUAAUGAGGCUGCCUAAGUAGGUGGUCACUCCUUGAAGAAAGGACUGCCAGAUCGUCGGCAAAAUCUAAGUCUGAAGAAAAA